UUGGGGGAGGCUGACGAAGAGGAAAACAAAAAAAUUCUAUUCUAUUCUGUAUAACCUUUUGUGCUUACCAGAGCAUUGGCCUCUGGAGGGACAUUGGUUCCCAAAGAGAGCUGUGUUACUCACUGUAUCUGAACCUGUGAGCCAGGCCUGUAUCUGAACCCCACUCGCGUCACGAGUACCACGCAGGGACGUAGGGCCCUGCUGCAGGAUUAAUGUCCCCUUGACUUUCAGGAAGAGACUGAAAUGUAGCAAUUGCCCUUACGGGCGCUCGCAACAGUCCUGUCCCCCUUCCUCUCCCAUCUGUCAGUGGCAGAGUGGCCCUCAGAAGACCAAGCCAGAGUGUCAUUACAAUGGCUCUCCUAAAAUUGGAGGGGAAGGAAGAUGGAGGAAAAGAUGAAAAAAAUCAACACUUUGAUGGUUUCUGGUUAGGUGUGGGAGGAUGCAAACUUGAGCCUAAAAUCAAGAGUUCAAUAUCCUAACUACACGCCUCAAUGAAUUGUGAACAGCAGCUGGCUGGACAAUGACAGAAGAACGACAAAUACCUAAUCACACUUGAACGAAAGGUGCAAUAAACUUCAAUGCUGAUGGCAUUGACCAAAGGAAAUUAUUCUUGGUAGAAACAGUCCAUCUUCACGAGUCACCCUUCACCCACAAAAUGUUCUUUCUGAGUUGCCUUUCAAUGCUUUCGUCCUUCCUCCUACCUUCAUAGAAAUUCUCUGAGGUUCUAGUCUUAGCUUACCUCUUUCCACUUUCUCAGGAAUUGCAUUUACUCGCCCAGUUUCAAGUACCCUUGAUAUUGUGAAUGAUUUAAAAAUAUAUAAUUGAUUGAUUCAACAAAUAUCUAUUGUACCUAUCAUGUGCCAGGAAACAUGCUGCUAAGUACUAGGGUUAUAACAUGAUGAACACGACAGGCAGGGUCUCUGCCUUCGCAUAGGCUUAUCCUCAAAUGUACACAUUUCCAACUUCCUCCUGGCCCUCCCCCGUAGAAUUUCUAAUUCAACAUGCCCCAAAGUGGGCUCUUUCUCAUCUUCUCCAAAACUGGUUUCACUACAUUUCUGUGAAUUACCCCACUCUUCAUCCAAUUUUGAAAAUACCUCAGUAGAUGGUGUCUUAUUCAUCUUUGCAUGUCUGGUACCUAGCAGAAUAUAGGUCUCCUGUAAAUAGAACAGUAAUAAAUAUGUAAUUAAACCUCUGUGCUGCUGAUUCUCAAAUGUACAUCUCCAACGGUGACUUCUGGACACCUCCACCUGGAUGUUUUGUGAACAUCUCAAGGUUGUUUGCUUCAACCCAAACUGAUUAUCUUUUCCUUUAAAAGAGGGGUCAGGAGUAGAGUCAUACAGCCUGGCCAGACCACCGUAAAGCACAAGUCCAGGAGCACGAUUCACAUUAUAGUCUAUAUAAGUAUCACAUUAGUAUAUUGUGCAACAUGAUGGCUCUGCUACCUGGGAUGGCAACUGACUCCAACACCUAUUCGCUGUGACCUUGGACAAUUUACUUAAAUUCUUUGAGCAUCAGGCAUCUCAUAUAUAAAACACAUAGUGUUCAAUAAAUGUUUGUCAUUUUUAACCUCAAAAUUGCUUCUCCUCCAGUGUUUCCUAUGUCACUGGUAAAUGACAUCACUUUUAUGUCACCAAGAUAAGAAAUCAAGGAAUCAGACUGAACUUCAUCUUUCCCCUCACCCUAAAUCCAACUAGUCCUACUGCUGAACAAGUAAGGAUAAAACAAUGGGA